AUUGAACGCUGGCGGCAUGCUUUACACAUGCAAGUCGAGCGGCAGCGCGGGGGCAACCCUGGCGGCGAGCGGCGAACGGGUGAGUAAUGCAUCGGAACGUAUCCUCGAGUGGGGGAUAACCCAGCGAAAGUUGGGCUAAUACCGCAUGAGCUCUGAGGAGGAAAGCGGGGGACCUGCGAGGGCCUCGCGCUGGAGGAGCGGCCGAUGUCCGAUUAGCUAGUUGGUGGGGUAAAGGCUUACCAAGGCGACGAUCGGUAGCUGGUCUGAGAGGAUGAUCAGCCACACUGGGACUGAGACACGGCCCAGACUCCUACGGGAGGCAGCAGUGGGGAAUUUUGGACAAUGGGGGCAACCCUGACCCAGCCAUGCCGCGUGAGUGAAGAAGGCCUUCGGGUUGUAAAGCUCUUUCGGACGGAACGAAAUGGGCGGGACUAAUACUCCUGUCUGAUGACGGUACCGUAAGAAGAAGCACCGGCUAACUACGUG
rnacentral:rRNA from 1 species